UUAGGGCCGAUUUUCAGUUGAGAAGGUUCGAAGGGAAGACUUCAUUCAACAGCUUAUCUACGAGACCAAGAUAUCGGUGCCAUUGUCGCUUCAGAGUUCCAGUAUCCAAUAUGAAGACCGCUAUCGUCUUACUCCUGGUUUGCCUUACAGUAGCAGCCUUUGCCAAACCCGGUAGAAAGAUACGCAGUCACGGCGAAAGUACCCACAGUACUCAGUCGCCGACUUCUGCUCCGAGCACGCCGUCACCAACUUCUGCUCCGAGCACGCCGUCACCAACUUCUGGUCCAAGCACGGACACCCCUGACGAUGACGAACAAUAGAAAUCUUUUUCUUCUUUCUAUUUUGUUUCGAAAUCAGAGAAUUUGAAAAAAAAAGCUAGAUUCGCAAUACAAUUAACAAUUAUGAGAAAAGUGAUAACAAGACUAUAAAGACAGAAUAUGUGAGACGUUCUUUCCCAUUUUGAUGUUUUGCAUUACAUUUAUUCUAAAAUCAAAAAGUUGUCGAUUACACUUGUAAUACAAAUCUACUAAAACAUUCAGAGAUAUUUGAUUCUUGAAUGAAAGUGCAGUAUUACAUGAUGCACACAUGAAAAUGACGGCAUCCAUCGUUGUCGUAUUUCACACUGUAAGUUAACAAGAUAGAAAGGAUGUUUUAACACCGCUUGAUUAGCACGCACACACACACACACACACAGUAGAUUAAUGAUUCGAUGUCGAAUAUUCUGAACUAUCAAUUCUGCUUAAAAACUGGUUUAGUGAGUUGGCAUUUGUUAAGUGUCAAGCUGCUGCUUGUUGUGUAAUCUACAUGUUAUGGAAAUCCUAUUGGACUGUAGGGAAGAGCUGUUGGUAGCAGGUUUUCAAAAUUAGGCAAUUCUACGAGAUUCAGAACAGGACAGCGUCGUCCUGAGUCAACACUAAUGUUAUCUGUAGUUCAAUGUCCAACUGAAUACCUUGAUUUUCUGCAUGUUUCUAUCUUAUGAAAAUUCAAUAAAUGUUGCACUUUCUUGCAUUCUG